rnacentral:rRNA from 1 species
UACGUAGGGUCCGAGCGUUGUCCGGAGUUACUGGGCGUAAAGAGCGCGCAGGCGGUCGUUCAAGUCGCGUGUGAAAGCCCCCGGCUCAACUGGGGAGGGUCACGCGAUACUGAUCGACUCGAAGGCAGGAGAGGGUAGUGGAAUUCCCGGUGUAGUGGUGGAAUGCGUAGAGAUCCGGAGGAACACCAGCGGCGAAGGCGGCAUCCUGGACUGGUCCUGACGCUCAGGAGCGAAAGCGUGGGGAGCGAUCCGG